rnacentral:rRNA from 1 species
AGCAGCCGCGGUAAUUCCAGCUCCAAUAGCGUAUAUUAAAGUUGUUGCAGUUAAAAAGCUCGUAGUUGAAUUUCGGGAUCAAUAUUUCGGUCAUGCCGUUGGUAUGCACUGUUAUCAUUGAUUUCUCACCUUCUAAAGAACCGGUAAUGCCAUUAAUUUGGUGUUACGGGGAAUUUAGGACUGUUACCUUGAAAAAAUUAGAGUGUUUAAAGGCAGGCUCACGCUUGAAUACAUUAGCAUGGAAUAAUGAAAUAGGACAUCCGAUUCUAUUUUGUUGGUUUCUAGGAUCGAUGUAAUGAUUAAUAGGGAUAGUUGGGGGGCAUUAGUAUUCAAUUGUCAGAGGUGAAAUUCUUGGAUUUAUUGAAGACUAACUACUGCGAAAGCAUUUUGCCAAGGAUGUUUUCAUUAAUCAAGAACGAAAGUUAGGGGGAUCGAAGACGAUCAGAUACCGUCGUAGUCUUAACCAUAAACUAUGCCGACUAGGGAUCGGAUGAUGUUAAUUUUUUAAUGACUCAUUC